rnacentral:rRNA from 1 species
AGCAGCCGCGGUAAUUCCAGCUCCAAUAGCGUAUAUUAAAGUUGUUGCAGUUAAAAAGCUCGUAGUUGAAUUUCGGGAUCAGUACGUCGGUCGUGCCUUCGGUACGUACUGGCGUCGCCGAUUUCUCCUUUCUGACGAACCGUGAUGCCAUUAAUUUGGUGUUGCGGGGAAUCAGGACUGUUACUUUGAAAAAAUUAGAGUGUUUAAAGCGGGCACGCGCUUGAAUACAUUAGCAUGGAAUAACGAAAUAGGACGUUCGAUCUUAUUUCGUUGGUUUCUAGGAUUGACGUAAUGAUUAAUAGGGAUAGUUGGGGGCAUUAGUAUUCAAUUGUCAGAGGUGAAAUUCUUGGAUUUAUUGAAGACUAACUACUGCGAAAGCAUUUGCCAAGGAUGUUUUCAUUAAUCAAGAACGAAAGUUAGGGGAUCGAAGACGAUCAGAUACCGUCGUAGUCUUAACCAUAAACUAUGCCGACUAGGGAUCGGAUGAUGUUAAUUUUAUAAUGACUCAUUCGCGUCCUUACGGGAAAACC